rnacentral:rRNA from 1 species
UACGUAGGGUGCGAGCGUUGUCCGGAAUUAUUGGGCGUAAAGAGCUCGUAGGCGGCUUGUCGCGUCGGAUGUGAAAGCCCGGGGCUUAACUCCGGGUCUGCAUUCGAUACGGGCAGGCUAGAGUUCGGUAGGGGAGAUCGGAAUUCCUGGUGUAGCGGUGAAAUGCGCAGAUAUCAGGAGGAACACCGAUGGCGAAGGCAGCUCGCUGGGACGGUACUGACGCUGAGGCGCGAAAGCGUGGGGAGCGAACAGG